GACGAACGCUGGCGGCGUGCCUAAUACAUGCAAGUUGAGCGCUGAAGGUUGGUACUUGUACCAACUGGAUGAGCAGCGAACGGGUGAGUAACGCGUGGGGAAUCUGCCUUUGAGCGGGGGACAACAUUUGGAAACGAAUGCUAAUACCGCAUAAAAACUUUAAACACAAGUUUUAAGUUUGAAAGAUGCAACUGCAUCACUCAAAGAUGAUCCCGCGUUGUAUUAGCUAGUUGGUGAGGUAAAGGCUCACCAAGGCGAUGAUACAUAGCCGACCUGAGAGGGUGAUCGGCCACAUUGGGACUGAGACACGGCCCAAACUCCUACGGGAGGCAGCAGUAGGGAAUCUUCGGCAAUGGACGAAAGUCUGACCGAGCAACGCCGCGUGAGUGAAGAAGGUCUUCGGAUCGUAAAACUCUGUUGGUAGAGAAGAACGUUGGUGAGAGUGGAAAGCUCAUCAAGUGACGGUAACUACCCAGAAAGGGACGGCUAACUACGUG
rnacentral:rRNA from 1 species